rnacentral:rRNA from 1 species
UACGUAGGGUGCGAGCGUUGUCCGGAAUUAUUGGGCGUAAAGAGCUCGUAGGCGGUGUGUCGCGUCGGCCGUGAAAACCUGCAGCUUAACUGUGGGCGUGCGGUCGAUACGGGCAUCACUGGAGUUCGGCAGGGGAGACUGGAAUUCCUGGUGAUGAGCGGUGAAAUGCGCAGAUAUCAGGAGGAACACCGAUGGCGAAGGCAGGUCUCUGGGCAGUAACUGACGCUGGAGGAAGCGAAAGCGUGGGGAGCAAACAGG